ACUGGGGAGGCCUCAGUGUCUCCUCUCCUUCGGGAGAACGGAAGGACGCCUGCGGCCUACAAAAAACUAUUGUUGCAGUGAGUUAGUUGCCACAAAAAUCAGGAGGAAACACACAGGAAUUCACUCAUCUCACUUGGUGAUGGAGGACCAGCACACAAGACCUACAGUAAUGUUUCCAAACUUCAAGGACGUGAGUCUCAGUGAACUUUGGGAGUUGGUGAUGGACAGGAAGGCAUGGUGUGCUGCAG